CAGCGGUUCCCAACUCCACCAUUCCAGGCACCUCCACCACGUACUUCACCUGUUGGACAACCAAUAUUGCCUCCAACAACAAUCAGACCUCCAAGUUUCCAAAAUCAUCAACCCCAGAUACCACCACCAAUGCCUAUGGGUUCUCCACCUCAAACCAUGAAUGGUAUGCUUUCCAACUCAAAUAUGCAGCAACCCCAACCUUCAAUGGGUCCAGCUCAUCCUGCUGCUGUCCGUGCCACCUCAUCAUCUCCUUGGCCUGGCUAUCCGGGUAUGCAGAGUAACACAGCAACACCAACAGCACCAGGAGGUUAUGCUCCACCUCAGCCCACCACAUCCACCCCCUUUCAAGGUGGUUUUGGACCAACCCCACCCCCACCAGGAGGUUAUGCUCCACCUCAGCCCACCACAUCUGCCCCCUUUCAAGGUGGUUUUGGACCAACCCCACCCCCACCAGGAGGAUAUGCUCCACCUCAGCCCACCACAUCUGCUCCCUUUCAAGGUGGUUAUGGAUCAACCCCACCGGUUGCAUCUCCUCUAGGAAUGUAUGUAGGAGGGUCCACACCUCCAACGGGAGGUAUGCAAGGAUUGGUAGAAGACUUCAGCUCACUUUCUAUUGGGUCUGUCCCAGGAUCUUUUGAUGCUGGGCU
rnacentral:lncRNA from 1 species